rnacentral:rRNA from 1 species
UACGUAGGGGGCAAGCGUUGUCCGGAUUUAUUGGGCGUAAAGAGCUCGUAGGCGGUUUGGUAAGUCUGGUGUGAAAUCUCCACGCUCAACGUGGAGGGGCCACCCGAUACUGCCAUGACUGGAGUCCGGUAGAGGAGUGUGGAAUUCCCGGUGUAGCGGUGAAAUGCGCAGAUAAUCGGGAGGAACACCCGUGCGAAGGCGGCACU